ACCUGCAAGCCGAGGGGUAUAGUUCUUUCGGGAACUAGAGACCGGCNCACGGGUGCGCAACGCGUAUGCAACUUGCCCUACUGAAAAGGAUAGCCCUUCGAAAGGAGGAUUAAUACUUUAUAACAGAUUUAAUGGCAUCAUUAGAUUUUGAAAGAUUUAUCGCAGUAGGAUAGGCAUGCGUAAGAUUAGUUAGUUGGUGAGGUAACGGCUCACCAAGACGAUGAUCUUUAGGGGGCCUGAGAGGGUGAACCCCCACACUGGUACUGAGACACGGACCAGACUCCUACGGGAGGCAGCAGUGAGGAAUAUUGGACAAUGGGUGGAAGCCUGAUCCAGCCAUCCCGCGUGUAGGAUGACGGCCUUAUGGGUUGUAAACUACUUUUAUCUGGGGAUAAACCUACUUACGUGUAAGUAGCUGAAGGUACCAGAAGAAUAAGCACCGGCUAACUCCGUGCCAGCAGCCGCGGUAAUACGGAGGGUGCAAGCGUUAUCCGGAUUUAUUGGGUUUAAAGGGUCCGUANGCGGAUUAAUCAGUCAGUGGUGAAAUCUCAUAGCUUANCUAUGAAACUGCCAUUGAUACCGGUNAGNCUUGANUGGAUG
rnacentral:rRNA from 1 species